UACGUAGGGGGCAAGCGUUGUCCGGAAUCAUUGGGCGUAAAGAGCGUGUAGGCGGCCCGGUAAGUCCGCUGUGAAAGUCCAGGGCUCAACCCUGGGAUGCCGGUGGAUACUGUCGGGCUCGAGUCCGGAAGAGGAGUGUGGAAUUCCUGGUGUAGCGGUGAAAUGCGCAGAUAUCAGGAGGAACACCGGUGGCGAAGGCGGGUCUCUGGGAAGUAACUGACGCUGAGAAGCGAAAGCGUGGGUAGCGAACAGG
rnacentral:rRNA from 1 species